rnacentral:rRNA from 1 species
GACGAACGCUGGCGGCGUGCUUAACACAUGCAAGUCGAACGGUAAGGCCCUUCGGGGUACACGAGUGGCGAACGGGUGAGUAACACGUGGGUGAUCUGCCCUGCACUUCGGGAUAAGCCUGGGAAACUGGGUCUAAUACCGGAUAGGACCACUGCCUGCAUGGGUGGUGGUGGAAAGCUUUUGCGGUGUGGGAUGGGCCCGCGGCCUAUCAGCUUGUUGGUGGGGUGAUGGCCUACCAAGGCGACGACGGGUAGCCGGCCUGAGAGGGUGACCGGCCACACUGGGACGGAGAUCCCGCCCAGACUCCUACGGGGGGCAGCAGUGGGGGAUGUUGCACAAUGGGCGCAAGCCUGAUGCAGCGACGCCGCGUGAGGGAUGACGGCCUUCGGGUUGUAAACCUCUUUCAGCACUGACGAAGCGCAAGUGACGGUAGGUGCAGAAGAAGGACCGGCCAACUACGUGCCAGCCGCCGCAGUAA